UACAGAGGGUGCAAGCGUUGUUCGGAAUUAUUGGGCGUAAAGGGCGCGUAGGCGGUGCGGUAAGUCAGAUGUGAAAUCCCGGAGCUUAACUCCGGAACUGCAUUUGAUACUGCUUUGCUUGAGGACUGGAGAGGAGAUCGGAAUUCACGGUGUAGCAGUGAAAUGCGUAGAUAUCGUGAGGAAGGCCAGUGGCGAAGGCGGAUCUCUGGACAGUUCCUGACGCUGAGGCACGAAGGCCAGGGGAGCAAACGGG
rnacentral:rRNA from 1 species